GACGAACGCUGGCGGCGUGCCUAAUACAUGCAAGUAGAACGCACAGUUUAUACCGUAGCUUGCUACACCAUAAACUGUGAGUUGCGAACGGGUGAGUAACGCGUAGGUAACCUGCCUGGUAGCGGGGGAUAACUAUUGGAAACGAUAGCUAAUACCGCAUAAUAUUGAUUAUUGCAUGAUAAUUGAUUGAAAGGUGCAAUUGCAUCACUACCAGAUGGACCUGCGUUGUAUUAGCUAGUAGGUGAGGUAACGGCUCACCUAGGCGACGAUACAUAGCCGACCUGAGAGGGUGAUCGGCCACACUGGGACUGAGACACGGCCCAGACUCCUACGGGAGGCAGCAGUAGGGAAUCUUCGGCAAUGGACGAAAGUCUGACCGAGCAACGCCGCGUGAGUGAAGAAGGUUUUCGGAUCGUAAAGCUCUGUUGUAAGAGAAGAACGGGUGUGAGAGNGGAAAGUUCACACNGNGACGGU
rnacentral:rRNA from 1 species